GACGAACGCUGGCGGCGUGCUUAACACAUGCAAGUCGAACGGAAAGGCCCUGCUUUUGUGGGGUGCUCGAGUGGCGAACGGGUGAGUAACACGUGAGUAACCUGCCCUUGACUUUGGGAUAACUUCAGGAAACUGGGGCUAAUACCGGAUAGGGGCUCCUGCUGCAUGGUGGGGGUUGGAAAGUUUCGGCGGUUGGGGAUGGACUCGCGGCUUAUCAGCUUGUUGGUGGGGUAGUGGCUUACCAAGGCUUUGACGGGUAGCCGGCCUGAGAGGGUGGCCGGCCACAUUGGGACUGAGAUACGGCCCAGACUCCUACGGGAGGCAGCAGUGGGGAAUAUUGCACAAUGGGCGGAAGCCUGAUGCAGCAACGCCGCGUGCGGGAUGACGGCCUUCGGGUUGUAAACCGCUUUCGCCUGUGACGAAGCGUGAGUGACGGUAAUGGGUAAAGAAGCACCGGCUAACUACGUG
rnacentral:rRNA from 1 species